CGAUGAUAACUAGCCGUUGAAUUUUCAGUGGCGCAGCUAACGCAAUAAGUUAUCCGCCUGGGGAGUACGGCCGCAAGGCUAAAACUCAAAUGAAUUGACGGGGACCCGCACAAGCGGUGGAGCAUGUGGUUUAAUUCGAUGCAACGCGAAAAACCUUACCUACACUUGACAUACUUUGAAUUUUUUAGAGAUAAAAAAGUGCCUUCGGGAACGAAGAUACAGGUGCUGCAUGGCUGUCGUCAGCUCGUGUCGUGAGAUGUUGGGUUAAGUCCUAUAACGAGCGCAACCCUUACCCUUAUUUGCCAGCGGUUCGGCCGGGAACUAUAAGGGAACUGCCGGUAAUAAGCCGGAGGAAGGUGGGGACGACGUCAAGUCAUCAUGGCCCUUACGUGUAGGGCUACACACGUGCUACAAUGGGAGAUACAGACGGUUGCGAAAGCGCGAGCUGGAGCUAGUCUGAGAAAGUCUCUCGUAGUCCGAAUUGCAGUCUGGAACUCGACUGCAUGAAGCCGGAAUCGCUAGUAAUCGCGGAUCAGCAUGCCGCGGUGAAUACGUUCUCGGGUCUUGUACACACCGCCCGUCACACCAUGGGAGUGAAUUGCACCAGAAGUAGAUAGCUUAACCUUCGGGAUGGCGUUUACCACGGUGUGGUCCAUGACUGGGGUGAAGUCGUAACAAGGUAGCACUAGGGGAACCUGGGGCUGGAUCACCUCCUUACGGAAGGGCGCCCACAAGGGUGACUAAAUUUUCAGACGAUCAUAAGAUCUAUAAAAGAACAAUUUGCGAAACUGCAAUAAAAUUAUUUCAAAGAACAAAGAGUUAACUUUGAGGUUACUUAUUCAAGUAAUUAAGUGCUAAAGGCGGAUGCCUUGGCAUCUAGAGGCGAUGAAGGACGUUGUAACUUGCGAUAAGCCCC
rnacentral:sRNA from 1 species